rnacentral:lncRNA from 1 species
GAGGUCCCCGGGCGCGGCUGGGGCAGCGGGAGGCGCGGGAGGCCGAGGUCCGGGUGGCCGCCGCGGCCGCCCCCGAAGCGCUGCUGUCACCCCGGCCGCGCCCCCCAACUUUCUGCACAGUCGCGGAGCUGGAAGUUUCCGGGCUUCGCGGACACGCUGGGCUGGGUUUCAGUCGCGGCUCCGAGGUUGGCAACAAAGAGGGAAAGAAGGAGGAAAAGCAGGCCGGGGAGGGGAGGAAGAGAACCGCGCGGAGGCCGCGGCGCCGAGAGCCCCAGAACUUCCAAUUCUACCCAGAAGCUUUUUUCGUCGUGUUUUUCUCUUAGACAUGAUCCUCUCUGAGGUUGGUCCUGGGCUUCCAUACGUGAUUCAUGGAAGAGGUCUCAGCCCCAAGAGCCCCUGAGGGUACUGUCCACUCCCCCUGGAAACUUCCAGAACCUGACGUGGGGCUGAAGACAUAGAGGUAAUGGGGAUGGGCUGGUGGGGCGCUGGCUGGGACAAUGUGUGGAGCCCUUGUUUUCAGAGCUACAGAUGCUUGUCAGCUGACAGUUCGUUUCCAGCAUCCACAGUGGACCUCCUUUGGGGGAGCAUUUACCUGCCAAUGAACCCCAAGAUCCUUUCUCAGAGGCGGCGGGAUGAAGUUUUCCUUUUUUUUUUUUUUAGUUAAUAUAUUUUAUUUAAACCAAUAUAUCCAAAAUAUUAUCAGUUCAACAUACGAUCAAGAUAAAGAUUAAUGAGAUACUUUACAUUUUCAUACUAAAUCUUUUUUUAAAUUUUUGUGAGUACAUAGUAGGUAUAAACAUUUAGGGAUGAAGUUUCUUACUGUGUUUUCCCAGUAACAAGCACUGGCAUCAGCUGUCAUGAUUUCUCCCCAAGGCCUAGGAUGGUCAGCCUCGCACGCUCCACAGCAGAGUGACUGAAGCUCUAUCGAGGUGUGGCACGAGCGUGUUGUCAUUUCAAGAGAAUCUGCAGCCUCCCUGGUUUUUAAUGAAAGCUCCUAUGCAGGGCCUGGCCCUUUCCUGGGGAGGGAAGGCUGGCUGUGUCUCCCGCUGCAUCCUCACUGGGAACUUCAUUCCUGAGCUGCGACCGCUAUUUUUUGGAUUGGAAAAUGCCUUGGGAACGGCUCAUCUUCCUGCGGCUUGAGCCCAUUUGUUUUCUGACUGGUGGUCACUGGUGAUUAGAGUGUGUCCCAAAGGGAACCGUCACCUUAGUUCUAUCAUACACUAUCAAUAACUUGUCCAGGGCUGACUUUGUGGCUGUGUGGCUUGCCCAGUGGUAGAGGGCCGGUGUGCAGAAGGGCCCCACACUCAAUGUUUGGCUGUCCCCGGUCUUAAAAUUCUUAGUCAUUCUUGAACAAGGGAACCCAUAUUUUCAUUUUGUUCUAGGCUCUGAGAGUUACAUAAUUGAUUCUGACUUUGGCUGUUGGUCAACAGUGUCAUAAGGUAAAAUAAGGGACCGUGGACUGUGAUGUUUACAGUACGAAAGCACUGGGAGAGAACGCUACAUCACAAAGUGUCCUUAACCUGCUGCCGCCUCAGCUUUCCCAUUUGUGACUUGGUUAAAAAAAAUUUUUUUGACAGUUUUAAGCUCUUAUUUUAAUUUCCACAGGCUGUUGUAGAAUCUGCUCAGCCAGGGAGGGGAAAGGAGUCGGCAAUCAGGUCUCCUCCUGGGCACCUUUGUGAGGCCAGCUGGCGAGAGUGGGGGGUGACACUGAGGUCCCAGCAGCUCCAAAUGCAGGCAGAGCCCUGUCCUCAGAGAAGGUCACAGCCUAGCCAAGCCCAGCCAGGUGGAUGGGCCCACGGAACGCACAGGAACCUGGAACGGAGGUUGAAAGCAGGAAGCACAGUCUGUGACUCCCCAGCCCACUCUGCAUUCGACCACUUGGGGCCCAGAAGCUUCAGGAAAGGUGCACAAGGUCACUGGGUCCCAGUACUCCCAACAGGAAGGUCUGGUCCAGGGACAGGGCUCUUCCCGACUCCCCUUAGCCACACGCACCAGAAGUUCUGCAGUGCCCAGUGGGCAUAGCAGUCCCCAAGAAUGACCCAGCACUGAAGCUGAGCCAAAGAACUUGGGGAGCGAGCCACACCCCCUCACUCCCUCUUCGCCUGCUCCAGACUUGCCAGGCGGUUGCUUUUCGUGGGAACCGGGAUGUCCUCACCACCCUGUCCAGGGCCCAGCCCCAUGUCCCUGGCCUGCUACAGCUGGAAAAAAAAAAGAGAGAUGUUUGUUUUUAUUUGUUUAUAAAAAGAAAAGUGUUAUAUAUAUAACAUAUUAUACCUCAUGAAUACAUACAAUUAUUUGUCAAUUAACAAUAAAGAAAAAUACAGCAAGCAAAAAAGACUCUCUUCCACAAAAAUAGUGUUCAUUACAGAAAAGUACAAAAAAAAAAAAAAAAAACUAAGAGGAUAUUUAGAAUUAAGAAAAAACUAAGAGGGUAUUUAGAAUUAAAAAAUAAAAAGAAAACAAUUACCCAUGAGGUAAUUACUGAAUGCAUUUGGUUGAAAGUCCUUCUGCUAUAUUUUCCAAACUGUAUGUGUAUAUAUGUGCGCAUGCAUAUAUGUGUUUGUGUGUGUGUACACAUAUCUAUAUGAAUGGACCAUAUCGUAAGUUAUAAAUGCAUACAUAUAUUCAUGUAUAUAUAAUCAUUAGAUCAUACUAUAGGUUAUUUUACAGUCUUUUUGUUGAAUACGUUGUGAGCAUUUUAUGUCAUUAUUUUCUACAAGAUUUGAAAAAUAAAGUAUAAAUACCAGUUAAUUUUUGAAAUCAACCUUAUUAAGGAAUAAGUUCCAUGCAGCAAAAUCCCUUUCACCUCUACUGUUCGAUGAGUUUUGACAAUGUAUGCAACCGUGACAUGUAUCACCACGAUCAAGAAAGAAAACAUCACCACAAAAUGUUCCCUAGAGCCCCUUGCAGGCAGUCUCUGACUUCCUGGCAGCCAGCAAUCUGAAUCCAACCACCGUAGAUCAGUUUCAAUUUAUUAAAAAAAAAUUUUAACUCAUGGAGUAUGAACUCUUGCUCGGGAUCCUGCUAUCUAUGUUGUUGAGUUUAUCAAUAGCCCAUUCCUUUUUACUGCUACGUGAUAUUUUAUCAUAUGCCUAUUGACAUUUGUUUACCCACUCACAUACUGAUGGACAAUUGAAUUGUUUGUGUUGUCUGUUUGUUUGUUUUUUGAGACAGGGUCUCACUGUCACCCAGGCUGGAGUGCAGUGGUGCAAUCUCGGCUCACUGCAACCUCUGCCUCCCAGGCUCAAGUGAUCCACCUCGGCCUCCCAAAGUGCUGAAAUUACAGGCGUGAGCCACUGUGCCUGGCCUGUUUCUGAUUUUUUAAAAUGUUUGCUAUUGUGACUAGAACUUUGUGAAUGCCAAUUAAUUUUUACAGUGUUUUAAUGAGCAAUGUCACCCGCACGUGCUGUGAAUGCCCACGCAUGUGGGCACAGCCUGUGUGUUUCCUUCCUGGAGCACUUGAGAUGGGGAAACCAAGAGAUGGGGGGUGAAGAAAGGAGCCAGAGGCCACACAGCUGGUUAGGAACAGGCUAGGGGAACCCAGCCUCUAAAUCCCAGUAUUCCAGGACAACAUGCUGCCAUACUCUCACAACACUUGCCUGUAUCAGAAAUGCUUGUAAUUUUCCCACACAGAGAAAUUUCCAUGAAAAUCAAGUUGUGGGCUGAGAGAUGAAAGGCAGCCUCAUGUUAAUUAGGCAGGCUUUGGUUUGGUCCGUCCACCAAGCUCAGGGGUGUGUGUGAAUAUCUCUAUUUUCAUACACACAUGCACACACGCACACACACACACACACACACACACGGACACGUCGCUCACACCCACCAACGCCAGUGGCGAUGAUCCAGUCCAGAUCUUUUCUAUACUGCCUUCAGAGCACGUGGCCAGACUGGCUUCUGACUUUACAGUCGUGGCACAUGCUGGCCCUGGACAGGAGGCCCUGGCUUGGCUUCUGAGCAUCCAUUCAGCAGACUUGUCUUAAAGGAUGUCUGAUUAUUUCCGCAAAUCAAAUCUCCCCUCAAGGACAAAGUUCAGGCUGCUGGGGAGAUUCAAAGGGAUGAUCUGUCUGCAAGACGGCUGCUUCCAAAAAGGUGUCACGGCGGCCUGGGAGUGGCUGUGCCCAACAGAAGGCAGGGGAAGAGGAGGUGCUCCUUGGAGUAUGGGCACCCUGGGUGUCUGUAGAGGAUUCUUGGGCCACUCUACCGUAGCUCAGCAUUGAAACAGAGACAAUGUUUGAUUUUGCUCACUUAUUAAUUAGCUCCUAGUUAUGUGUCCAAUGGGGCUAUUUCCAUGAUCUUAUUGAAUCCUAAAUAACUAUUAUCCUGCUUUUACAGAUGAGAAACGUGAGGCCCAGAGAGGUUAAGAAACUUGCCCAAGGACACACAGCAGUGGGUACUCAGUCCAAGAAUGCCCAUUCUUUGCAGACACAGGCUUCUCAUCUGAGUUAGAGGUCUCUGCCCAUUUGUGGCUAGCAGGCUCCAAAGAACACACGUUCACUUGGAGCUAGCUCGGGUAGAACCCUAAACAAUUCUAGUGUGCUUGGAGGACACAAAUGGUGCAGACCCCCACUUCCUGUUCAGGUCUCUGAGGGGCCCUCCCUCCUCAGACCACACCCCACUGCUGAGCAGACCUCUAGCACUUGUCCUGGCCCCCAUUCAAAAAGGCAAAUGUCAGCUGGGCGCGGUGGCUCAUGCCUGUAAUCCCAGCACUUUGGGAGGCCGAGGCAGGCGGAUCACGAGGUCAGGAGAUCGAGACCAUCCUGGCUAACAUGGUGAAACCCGUCUCUACUAAAAAUACAAAAAAAAAAAAAAAAAAAAAUUAGCCGGGCUUGGUGGCGGGUGCCUGUAGUCCCAGGUACUCCGGAGGCUUAGGCAGGAGAAUGGCGUGAACCCGGGAGGCGGAGCUUGCAGUGAACUGAGAUCGCGCCACUGCACUCCAGCCUGGGCGACAGAGCGAGACUCUCAAAAAAAAAAAAAAAAAAAAAAAAAGAAGGCGAGUGUCCGGUCCCUGAGUUGAGCAAAGAAGAAUCACCUCCUCUCAGCCCUCGGUCCACAGUCUCCAUGGUCUUGAAGUCAGCGGGCCUAAGGAGGCCUCUGUCCACGGGAGAUGAAACCAGGAAAGGAAGGGCCCAUUCUCUCAGAAAACAUGUGUUUUCUGUUUACAGAGGGACCUGUCCAGUUCCCAUGCUUUGUUCUUUAAUAUGGAGCCAAAAAAAAAAAAAAAAAAUCAAAUGCGCAGCUUCCGCUCUGAGGUACACUUGAAGGCUAGAAAGUCCGGAUUGCUGCGGGCUCAUUGUGCUGGGGUGUCCUAUCUGCUGCUGACGUCCAGCAUAUACCAACCUGGAAAGCCAAGGAAAAAGCCAGACUGCCCCCUCCGCAUUACAAGGGAGGACGGGGUACAGAGGGGAGAGGCAGCCUCGGCACCCUGGGGGCUGGCUUGACACUGUGUGAGCACACUGGGGGUGUUCUGUUGUGCACUUGUAGCCCUGGCACCACAGGCCCAGCAGGCUUGGCGCCACACACCGGCCAUUCAGAUCCUGGGCAGAGGGCAUCCUUUCCCACCCCAAGCAAAGGGAGGCAGAGUAUUGGGAGAUCUGGGGUAACCAGUGGGUGGGAAUCUCCAGGCAACCUGGGUCAAGCUGAGGGAUGCUGAGCACCUUCAGAGUUGGGAGAGGGGCUUAGCUCUGGGUAAGCGGGUCUUCCAACUCGAGGAGGCAGCAGUGAGCUAAGGUAAUCAACAGAGCUGCCAGCCAGCUACACCUACUGAAGGGAAACUAUUAUCACAGGAUGCCGGCUCAGCACACAGGCUAACAGCUGAGAUUCAGUAUCAAGGAUCUGGGUCCAAAUCUAGGCUGUGUCCCUUUGCCCUCCAGGGCCUCUGGCAAGCUGCUUCUCUGACCUCGGCCCCUCAUCUGUGAAAAGGGGUGGCAUGCACGUUUAUACAGCUGCCAGGAGUACUGAGAUAACACAUUUACGUCUAAGUCCAGGAUGGCCUGGCACAUGCUUUUCAAUACACGGCAGCUGCCGUUGACAUCUCGGGGCUUUAGACUUCACCGAAGGGGCACUCUGGCUAGAAACAGCUCACCAGCUUAGGCUGUCACAGCCAGCGGAGAGGGGGUCCUACAAUCCCUCCCACCCAGGGCAGACCCCGACUAAGACGGGAGGAUGCCUCGCUGGGCCACACCUUCCUCCCUGUGCAGAAGGGGUGACAUCAGUAACCGUGGUUGACAACGGAGCCUAGGGUUCUGAUGUCACUUCUGCCCGGGUGGUGCGUCCAGCUUAGGCUGAGACGAGGGGUGGCCCUCGACCCAGUGCACAGGGUCAGCCCUGGCUCCGCGCCUCCGACCUCUCGGGGGCUGCAGCAGGGCCUGGCACGCGUGUCCCCGGGGCCGGGCCGCUGGCCCCUUUCAUCUCCGCCUCCCGGCUGUCCGGCCUCUACGUCCCGCGCACCUGGGGCCAGACGGGGACAGCAAAAAACCAUCGCAGGAAGCGCGCACGACCUCGUUUGGGACCAGCCCGCCUCCCGGGCGGAAGCCGCGGCGCCUUGGACUGGACGGUCCCGCCCGCUCUUCCGUCCCGCCCCGGAAGUCAGGACGAGGGCGCGACGCGCGG